rnacentral:lncRNA from 10 species
UUGACCCCUGCUGGGCUGGACUUGAGGUUCACGGCCACAUGGUUCCCUGUGCAGCGCCCCGUGGGUCCCAGCAGACACAGCACCAUAAUGGGAGACUUCUAGGCCGAGAGGGCAAAAGCUUCAAACAGCAGGCGGCAGCACCAGCUGUGUGGUGGCUGGGAGCUGGUCUAGCCUCCGCCUUCCUUCCAGAAGUCUCCCCAGCAUCCUCAACCAGGUCAGAUCCCCCAGCAUGACUCAACAUCCCUUCGACUUCCCUUCUGCAGCCCUGGCAGGAGCUGUGUUGCAGCGGUGCCUGUUGCAUGUGGAAGUCUCCCUUCAAGGUUUGCAUCAUGGAACUCACCUGGCCCAACCUCUCAGGGAGGAAAAUUCCAACCAGAGAGGGAAAUUUCCCAGUGGCUCCAGCCUCGGGAUCCUGCAACCUGAACACCUACUGGCUUCUUGGGGUCAUCCACCUUCUGCACCGAGAGGUUCUCAAGAGCUAUGUGGAUCGCGACACCCCCAGCCACUGGGGCUGUGCCACCCUUGAGGGCCGGGACCCUGCCCCAGGACUACUCACCUGAGGGCCUGGACGAGGUUGAGGUUGGCGAACUCGUGGCAGUCCACGAAGGCCUGGAGGAC